UGGAUUUAUUAUUAGUAAUA
rnacentral:siRNA from 1 species